AGUGAAGUGCUUGAUAAAAAGGUCGUUUUGAUGGGACGAAAAAUGGGGGCUCUAAUCCUCCCUUUACUA
rnacentral:tRNA from 1 species